UAAACUGUGCUUGGGAUGCAUUGUAUAAGAGAAGAAUACAUUUACAAAAGAGAAAGACCAAAUGUGCUUACUCACACAGAAGCUCUGCUCAGCUUCCUGUGAGGAAGCCACCAACAGAGAGGACUGCUGAACGAGAAGCCAGAUCCAGAAAUCAGGAAAAAAACAAGAUGUAAUGAGAAGACAACCACUCUGGAAGAGAGGAGUCACCAAAAGCCAGACUACACCAGCCUCUUGGUCUCUGAAGCCUAGUCCACAGAACUGUGGUAAUGAAGCCUAGUCCACAGAACUGUGAGAAUGACGCCUAGUCCGCAGAACUGUGAGAAUGAAACCUGGUCCACAGAACUGUGAGAAUUAGGUAUCUGCUGUUUAAGUCACCCAGACUCUGGUUGGAUUUAGCUAUAAAUUCUUUCAGGUGUUAACUUCCUCAGACUAAUGAGGCCUUUUGUUGUUGGUCUUCCAACAAAGCUGCAUUUGGUGACCUAAGGCUAGGAAUGAGGCUCUGGAAAUCUCUUCCCCACAAUGAAACCGCUUGCUAUACAGCUCAGGAACCAGGCAGCAGCAACUAAAGUGAGUCCCAAUUCAAAAUUCCACAUGAAUGACCCUCACAUAGCUUGACAGAUUUUCCAAGAGAAAAAGAAGAAGUCAAAGUAGGAGGCACCAAAGUAGCUGACUGAGCCUCCUGGAGAAUCAAACAAGACUAGAGGAAGGAGAAGGGAAGAGAAGAGAAGGAAAACCCAAAGAUGGCCACAGAUGAGCCCACAAUCAACAAACACUAUCAGCGGCCAGCUCUUUGUGAAUGGUCUCAAAUCAUCAAGUUGACAAAGUCUUCAGAUGGUUGAUUACCUAGCUGAUAUCAUACAGUGACAACUCAAGACUGCAUAUAAAACACUCAAGACGUCAUAUAAAACAGUCAGCCCAUAGAGUCAUGAGAGUUAGCAAUGAAUUGGGUUUUGGUCUUUUUAAAUACUUUAUUUAUUUUUAUUUUAUGUGCAUUAGUGUUUUGCCUGCAUGUAUGUCUUCAUGAAGAUGCCGGACCCCUGGGACUGAAGUUACAGACAGUUGUGAGCUGCCAUGUGGGUGCCGGUAAUUUAAUCCAUGUCCCCUGUAAGAGCAUCCAGUGCUCUUAAUUGCUGAGCCAUCUCUCCAGCUCCAGUAAUGAAUUGCUUUAAUAAACUCAUCUGGAGAAUAGUUGGUUUAUAGCAAUAGGCAAUCAUGGCACUAGUUUAUCUUUAUCUGGUUCACAAUGUUAUUUGGUUAUGAUAAUUGUCUAGGGAAAAUAAUCUGCUAGGGAGGUCAAUGAUCCAUAAGCACUGUUACCUAUUAACCUAGAUUCUAGACUCUAGAAUCAUACAAUUUGACUCUGCUUUUUAAAGAAAACAGUUUGAAUUUAUCAGAUUCACAUGAUUUCCCCCCAAUUAUUACUGAAUAAUAACCUGAGCUAUGUAAACUUAUAGUCCCCCCAAUGAAACACAAGAGAAUAAAAGAGCUUCAGAGAUUUACAAGAGCAACCGGUUUCAAACAUUGUCUGUUUCUGUCACCACUGCUUAUCCUGUGUCGCUUUUCCCCUGGAAUAAAAUUAGAAGCUCAAAAAAAA